GGAGGCGGUGGUGGGGGUGGUGGCGGCGGGGGUGGCGGUGACUCAUGGAAUCGAGAGGAACGAGGGCGAAACGGGAAUCAGCAGUCUCGCGGUCAUCAACGUUCACGAGGUCGCAACCACAACAAUCGCAACUGUCAGCGCCGGCGGAAUGGUUGUCAUCAAAACCGUCAUCACCAAAAACAACAGGGAGACGGAGACACGGGACCACCGGAAGGACCGCAGCGGGGUGCCUUUCUUCCCGGCGUAGACCCCCGCCAACAGGCGUUCCAGUUGUCUAAUGUUUUAUCAGCUCCAGCGCAAUUCUCCUUUCGACGGCAGAUCCCGCGAACCACGACACAAGGCACGGUCGUGGCGGCACAAGAACAACCGGAAGAUACGGAAACUGCCGCUGAUGAUGAAGAAGACACGACCCCAGUGCAAAAUUUAUGACCACCCUCUGACCUCUAAAGGGCAAGGUGCAAAAUGGCCUUCAGGAGGUCAUAAAGUAGGCAAAUAGAUGGCAUCCGGGAGCCCCCCCAACUUUGAGGCCUCUGGAAGGCGCCGCCGGAUGCCAGCAAAAUGGCUGUUGGUUAUGGGCCUCCCAAAGGUGCCAUGGCAGCGUUCCCGGUGCCUUCCAGAUGGCAAUCCCGGAUUGACUAUUAGGGCCUGUUAUUAAACCACAUAGUGCCUAUUGCGGCACUGCCUACUAUACAAGGCUGGAUUAUCCAUGUAUAUUGUAAUCAAGUGGGAUUUUUUAACCAUGAUCUGUACGUUACUGGGCCAUUUUAUCCCCCGGAUGCUAUCAUGCUAGCUAGUAAUUUAGUGCAGAAUUGCACACUCGUGAUAAUUGCCAUGUUUUAGUUAGAUAAAUACAUUUUUGUAUUUUACCAACUAGCGCAAUCAUCGCCAAUAUUGCCCUAAGUUUCCUAAUAAAACUAACUGGACAAUGGCGCAUAUUGUAUGAUAUUUUCUUCAGUUUUCCACCAAUUUAAUAAUUAUUUAAAUUUUAUUAGCGCUUGCAUUAUUGAAAAAUGAGAAAAUAAAUAACAAUAAACAAAUAUUGAUAAAGAAUGCGAAAACAAUAUCAAUAAUAAUAAAUACGAUUAAAUAAGUGGCAAAUAUAAUUAGCAACAAUUAAUAUUAGUAAUUAUUAAAGAUAUUAGCAAUUGUUCAUGGAUGCAAGCGCUAAUUUGAUACUUACUAUUAUUAUUCCUCAUUUUUCUAACAGUAUUUUAUAAUGCAAAAAGAAUUUUUUGUAAUUACUGUAACAAAAAAACGCUCUGAGAAAGAGUACGUUGUGCGAACGAAAGAAUAUUAAAUUUUACGUAAAAGAAAGUAGAGUACAGUACAAUUAAGUAAAUCAAUUUCAUGAAUAAAUUUUGGAGAAUUGGAGUAAAUCCACACUGCCAGCCGCGGCAGUGUAACCCAUUCCCGCGUUUGGAGGCGGAGCUAGGCAGCAACGGCAGCUGAACUGCACUGCUGCAGUCUGUCUUUUUCACUUUGUCAAGAACCUUGUCCAUAUGGAUAAAAAUUAAUCAUAUAUAUAAACGAUUGUUAUUCUAAUUUAAUAGUUAUUACAAUUAUAAGACACCACAAAUAGUUAACUAUCAAUUGUGCUUGUUGGCAGAGGGUUGCUUGAAUCGCUUUGUUUGAUAUGUUUGCGCUCAUGCAUGAUACAGCGAUACUUAUCCUUGUUAUAACAGUAAUAAUAACACAUGUGGGUUACUGCAACUGACGAUGGACUACUCACUACUUUCGCGUCUGGUGUUUUUACUCCUUCGAAACCUAUAAUCUUGGAAACCUAUAUUCCUAAAUCUUGUACUCUGGAUACUCUGGAGGCCAGGCUUAGCCAGCGCUCAUUUCAAGAUUACCCUGAAAACUCCUCGUUGUCAGUCGCAGAUCUUCAUGGGUCCCCAAGUUCUGCAGCAACGGUGCUUACGGCGUACCCUGUGAUCCUAGGGGAAAUCAAGGCCAACGGGAACUUCAACGCUCAAAGUCAUACCAUUCACCACUAAUGAGACGUAUGCGUUCAAGGCUCAUCGCUGACGCUCAGUGCGACACUGCGACGGAGAGACGCUGGUGGGUCUUUAUUGAGCAACGACUACCGCGCCCGCGACGUAACGGCCUCGUUGACGCUGGACCAGAUGGACAUUUAGAGCGCAUCGGACAACGCCGUCGGCGCCGAGCCAGAACAUAUGCCAGGGCAUACUGAUCCGGUUUCCCGGCGGCCAGAUUGUUUCGCUCAGCAGCAGAUACACCGGCAGUGACUUUCAUAUGGCGGCCCUAGCCUACACAGCGUGACCAGCGUCGGCUACGCCUUCGAGAUCCCCAAAACCAUCGCGGCCUUCCGUGGUGCGCACGGAGUGAGUGUCAAGUGCAUUUGUUGUAUUCCCAUUUGACCGUUUGAUAAAGUCUGUCUCCAUCCAGAGCCGGAAUCCGCUUAUUAAACAUAUAUCUUCCGAGUGGAUAUUGGACACGCUAGCCUCGAUUUUUAAUUAAUGAAGUCUUGUUUAUUAAAGACAUAUCUGGUUUAGCUUUUAAGAUUUAAAUAAGGUAAUUAUCCUCUUGGUUAGUCAUGGAGUGUGGUGGUGUUUGUUGGCUUGAUAAAUUUUAUUUAAUUUCAAACUGAAUGGAAAUCCUGCAAUGGUAUUGUCCUUAUUACGGUAUUUGGUGAAUCUCAAUAAAAACAGUACGAGCGAGCUAUCCCGUACGCAAAAGCU